UUGGUGGCGACCGGCGCACGGGUGAGUAACGCGUAUGCAACCCAUUUAUCAGAGGGGAAUAACCCGGCGAAAGUCGGACUACUACCGCAUAAAACAGGGACACCGCAUGGUGAUAUUUGUUAAAGAAAUUCGCUGAUAGAUGGGCAUGCGUUCCAUUAGGUAGUUGGUGAGGUAACGGCUCACCAAGCCGACGAUGGAUAGGGGAACUGAGAGGUUGGUCCCCCACACUGGUACUGAGACACGGACCAGACUCCUACGGGAGGCAGCAGUGAGGAAUAUUGGUCAAUGGGCGAGAGCCUGAACCAGCCAAGUCGCGUGAAGGAAGAAGGAUCUAUGGUUCGUAAACUUCUUUUGCAGGGGAAUAAAGUGCAGGACGUGUCCUGUUUUGUAUGUACCCUGAGAAUAAGGAUCGGCUAACUCCGUGCCAGCAGCCGCGGUAAUACGGAGGAUCCGAGCGUUAUCCGGAUUUAUUGGGUUUAAAGGGUGCGUAGGUGGUUUGAUAAGUCAGCGGUGAAAGUUUGCAGCUUAACUGUAAAAAUGCCGUUGAAACUGUCGGACUUGAGUGUAAAUGAGGUAGGCGGAAUGCGUGGUGUAGCGGUGAAAUGCUUAGAUAUCACGAAGAACUCCGAUUG
rnacentral:rRNA from 1 species